AGCAGCCGCGGUAAUUCCAGCUCCAAUAGCGUAUAUUAAAGUUGUUGCAGUUAAAAAGCUCGUAGUUGAAUUUCGGGAUUUGUCAGUUGGUCGGGCUUCACUGUCCGUAUUGACUUGAUGGAUUCUUACCUUCUGAAUAACCAGCAUGCUAUUAAGUUAGUGCGUUGGGGAAGCAGAUCUAUUACCUUGAAAAAUUAGAGUGCUUAAAGCGAGCUAGUGCUUGAAUAGAUUAGCAUGGAAUAAUAAAAUAGGACGGCAUGGUUCUAUUUUGUUGGUUUCUAGGAUCACCGUAAUGAUUAAUAGGGAUAGUUGGGGGCAUUAGUAUUCAAUUGUCAGAGGUGAAAUUCUUGGAUUUAUUGAAGACUAACUUCUGCGAAAGCAUUUGCCAAGGAUGUUUUCAUUAAUCAAGAACGAAAGUUAGGGGAUCGAAGACGAUCAGAUACCGUCGUAGUCUUAACCCAUAAACUAUGCCGA
rnacentral:rRNA from 1 species